CGCCAUCUCCCCUUCUCGCACUUUAUUUCUGUUAUUCCACCACUGCCACCAUGAGGUGACGAUUAAUACUCGCUUUGUCUCCUACAGCUUCCACGAAGAGUCCAGCAUUGCAUGCACGUUGUUGAUUUUCUCAAGCUCCGAUCUCUCAGUUUCGAGACCAAGCUCUCGCCAAAUUUGUUUCACAUGCUUGCACUUAAUAAAUAGGUGUGCUCCAUCCUCCUCAUUCCUACCACAAAACAAACAUUUGGAGUUCUCCAGUUUAAUACCUCUCCGCUGCAGGUUCGCACAUAUGGCCAGGGAUUCAUGUCUGAUUCUCCAUACGAACAU
rnacentral:lncRNA from 1 species